GUGGGGAAUAUUGCACAAUGGGCGCAAGCCUGAUGCAGCAACGCCGCGUGAGGGAUGACGGCCUUCGGGUUGUAAACCUCUUUUAGUAGGGAAGAAGCGAAAGUGACGGUACCUGCAGAAAAAGCACCGGCUAACUACGUGCCAGCAGCCGCGGUAAUACGUAGGGUGCAAGCGUUGUCCGGAAUUAUUGGGCGUAAAGAGCUCGUAGGCGGCUUGUCGCGUCUGCUGUGAAAUCCCGGGGCUCAACCCCGGGCCUGCAGUGGGUACGGGCAGGCUAGAGUGCGGUAGGGGAGAUUGGAAUUCCUGGUGUAGCGGUGGAAUGCGCAGAUAUCAGGAGGAACACCGAUGGCGAAGGCAGAUCUCUGGGCCGCUACUGACGCUGAGGAGCGAAAGCAUGGGGAGCGAACAGGAUUAGAAACCCGGUAGUCC
rnacentral:rRNA from 1 species